CCUGAACGCUGGCGGCGUGGCUAAGACAUGCAAGUCGAACGGGUGUAGCAAUACACCAGUGGCGGACGGGUGAGUAAUGUAUCGCUAACGUGCCCUGGAAUCUGAGAUAGCCAAUCGAAAGGUUGGGUAAUACCAGAUGAAAUAUCCUUAUCGCAUGAUGAGGAUCUCAAAGGAGCAAUCCGGUCUGGGAGCGGGCGAUAUCGUAUCAGCUAGUUGGUGAGGUAACGGCUCACCAAGGCGACGACGCGUAGCCGGGCUGAGAGGGUCGGCCGGCCACAUUGGGACUGAGACACUGCCCAGACUCCGUACGGGG
rnacentral:rRNA from 1 species